CAAAAGAAUUCAAACCAGAUGAUUCCAAGCGGCUAUUCUUCCAGCCAUAGAAACCUAACGUGCGACGUUCGGGAAUUUUGCCUAAAAUUUAUAGGAGAACAGAAGGAACCAGCCAAGCAAUUGGAUGAGGUAACAUAGUGAUGUUUUUGUUUCCUUUCAAAAAAGUGUAGCCCACAGUAAAAGUGUAGCCCACAAUAAACUUUAGACCACCUCAUAUAUAUGUAUUGGUUUAAUAAAAGAAGUCCAUGAAACAAUUAUAUAGUUUUGUUGGGCAGUAGUGUAAAUGAUUUUUAAAGGAAACAACUUAAUAAUUUCUGUUUAUUAUUUUUAUUAA